AUGCUAGUCGCACGGGUUUAGACCCGUGGCAGAUAGCUCAGUAACACGUGGCCAAACUACCCUAUAGACCACCAUAACCUCGGGAAACUGAGGCUAAUGCUGGAUACGAGUUCCACUCUGGAAUGACGGAACUCAGAAACGCUCCGGCGCUAUAGGAUGUGGCUGCGGCCGAUUAGGUAGACGGUGGGGUAACGGCCCACCGUGCCGAUAAUCGGUACGGGUUGUGAGAGCAAGAGCCCGGAGACGGAAUCUGAGACAAGAUUCCGGGCCCUACGGGGCGCAGCAGGCGCGAAAACUUUACACUGCACGACAGUGCGAUAAGGGGACUCCGAGUGCGAGGGCAUAUAGUCCUCGCUUUUCUACACCGUAGGGCGGUGUAGGAAUAAGGACUGGGCAAGACCGGUGCCAGCCGCCGCGGUAAUACCGGCAGUCCAAGUGAUGGCCGCUAUUAUUGGGCCUAAAGCGUCCGUAGCCAGCCAGACAGGUCCGUCGGGAAAUCCACUCGCUCAACGAGUGGGCGUCCGGCGGAAACCAGCUGGCUUGGGGCCGGAAGACUUGAGGGGUACGUCCGGGGUAGGAGUGAAAUCCCGUAAUCCUGGACGGACCGCCGGUGGCGAAAGCGCCUCAAGAAGACGGACCCGACGGUGAGGGACGAAAGCUAGGGUCACGAACCGGAUUAGAUACCCGGGUAGUCCUAGCUGUAAACGAUGCUCGCUAAGUAUGGCGCACGCUACGAGCCAUGUGCUGUGCCGUAGUGAAGCCGAGAAGCGAGCCGCCUGGGAAGUACGUCCGCAAGGAUGAAACUUAAAGGAAUUGGCGGGGGAGCACUACAACCGGAGGAGCCUGCGGUUUAAUUGGACUCAACGCCGGACAUCUCACCAGCUCCGACAGUAGGAGUGACAGUCAGUGUGAUGAGCUUACUAGACCUACUGAGAGGAGGUGCAUGGCCGCCGUCAGCUCGUACCGUGAGGCAUCCUGUUAAGUCAGGCAACGAGCGAGACCCGCAUCUCUAAUUGCCAGCAGUACCCUCGUGGUAGCUGGGUACAUUAGGGAGACCGCCACGGCUAACGUGGAGGAAGGAACGGGCAACGGUAGGUCAGCAUGCCCCGAAUGAGCUGGGCUACACGCGGGCUACAAUGGCCGAGACAACGGGUUCCCACCCCGAAAGGGGACGGUAAUCUCUUAAACUCGGUCGUAGUUCGGAUUGAGGGUUGAAACUCACCCUCAUGAAGCUGGAUUCGGUAGUAAUCGCGCUUCAGAAGAGCGCGGUGAAUACGUCCCUGCUCCUUGCACACACCGCCCGUCAAAGCACCCGAGUGAGGUCCGGAUGAGGCCACCCACGGUGGUCGAAUCUGGGCUUCGCAAGGGGGC
rnacentral:rRNA from 1 species